AGAGUUUGAUCAUGGCUCAGAUUGAACGCUGGCGGCAGGCCUAACACAUGCAAGUCGAACGGUAACAGGAAGCAGCUUGCUGCUUCGCUGACGAGUGGC
rnacentral:rRNA from 1 species